rnacentral:rRNA from 1 species
AAUGAACGCUGGCGGCGCGCCUAAUACAUGCAAGUCGAACGGAUCCUUCGGGAUUAGUGGCGGACGGGUGAGUAACACGUGGGAACGUGCCCUUUGGUCGGAACAACUCAGGGAAACUUGAGCUAAUACCGGAUAAGCCCUUGGGGAAAGAUUUAUCGCCAUUGGAGCGGCCCGCGUCUGAUUAGCUAGUUGGUGGGGUAAAGGCCUACCAAGGCGACGAUCAGUAGCUGGUCUGAGAGGANGAUCAGCCACACUGGGACUGAGACACGGCCCAGACUCCUACGGGAGGCAGCAGUAGGGAAUCUUGCGCAAUGGGCGAAAGCCUGACGCAGCCAUGCCGCGU